CAUGAUGACACCCAUCAACGACCUC
rnacentral:piRNA from 1 species